rnacentral:rRNA from 1 species
UACGAAGGGGGCUAGCGUUGCUCGGAAUCACUGGGCGUAAAGGGUGCGUAGGCGGGUCUUUAAGUCAGGGGUGAAAUCCUGGAGCUCAACUCCAGAACUGCCUUUGAUACUGAAGAUCUUGAGUUCGGGAGAGGUGAGUGGAACUGCGAGUGUAGAGGUGAAAUUCGUAGAUAUUCGCAAGAACACCGGUGGUGUAGACGGCUCUCUGGACCGUAACUGACGCUGAGACGCGAAAGCGUGGGGAGCAAACAGG